rnacentral:lncRNA from 1 species
AUGGUUCCCGGACAGGUCCUCUUGGCUUCCCUUGAUGCUAUCAGUAAGUUGAAUAGGGUUCUAUAACCUUUAGGUGUUUAUAGGUUAUUUCUGCUUUUAUAGCUUCUCCUUUAGAUUAGCAUAGCCUAUAAAUGACAAUACAUGUAUCAGUUUUGACCAUAGGUGUCUAUAGAUAAUCUAUUCUUUUGUACAACAAACUUGCACAUGGGUUGAUUCUGUUAUGGGUAUUUGGUUUGAUUCUAUUAAAGUCUGGUUCUUUUGGUUUCAUUAGGUUAUAGGUAUUUAAUAAUUUGUGGCAAUGACAGAUUAUACUUUUGUCCACCACGUUCGUAAAAUGCUUGGCGUAUUUAAAUUGUGGUUUGUGCAAUUGAUUUCUUGGCCUUAAUUCUGUAACAAUAGCCACUGUCUUCACUAAAUUUUCCCAUUUGUCUCCACUAACACUUACCAGUUUCCAAAUUUGUAGCAACACAAUAAACACCCACUGAUUUGAUGCUAUUAAAUCUAGAGUGUUUUGGCUUAAUUCUCUCAUACCUAUUUAAUAAAUUGUCACAAUUGUUCUAAGUUUGUUAUCAAUUGAUUAAAUAGAUUGGAGUUAUACUUUUGCCCAUCAGAUUAAUAGAAUGGUUGAUGUACCUAAACUGUUGUUUGUCCUGUUGGAUUUUUUAACUUAAUUUUGUGAUGAUAGUUGGUAUUCGCUCACAUUUAUCCAUUUAUCUACACUAACACUUGCCAUUUUUCAAAUUUGUACCAACAUAGUUAAAACCCUGCAAAGGACAAGAAAGAACAGAAGCCACCUCUAUAGGAAAGGCAUCAAGAGAAAGAUCCCAUUCCAACAGACAUCAAGGCAGAAAAUCCCCCUCCACCACCCAAUAGCAUAUAUAUAUAUAAAGACCGGUCCAAACUCUUUUAAACAAUGA